rnacentral:miRNA from 3 species
AAGCUGCCAGAUGAAGAGCUGU